UUCCUCCAGUGUGCGGCGGGCUUAAUCGAGCAAUUUCGAAGAGAAUAGAAUAGAUGUUUUGUCUGUCAAUUUUAAAGUCUUCUAGGUAAAUGGCGUAUUUAAACGAUUCUUCGAGCGAUAUUUUGACCUGUUCUAACUUAAAAGAUGGUAAAGAAAUUUCAAAGAUAAAUGGAGGGUUUAAAUAUUAUACUUUUGAACAGGUUAAUGAAACGGGGACAUAUUUUUCUGACAUGCUAAGACGAAAGCAGAAAAUAUGUGUAUUGAAGAUUCCAAUUCAGAGUUUUAACGACACCACAAUUUUCGAGGCCGUGCCCACAUACUUGGCAGUCGCGGAAGAUUAGCCAGUGUUAGAUAACCGGUUGUGUAAAACUUUAAAGAAAACUCUCCGCUACUUAAGAAACUGUUCCCACUUUGUUUUUCUGUUUUAGUACACGGUAUUCUGUGUUGUAAAUUGUAGGUAAAUCGUAAAACCUUGCUGUUGAUGCCAUCUUCAAUUUCUGAAUUUCAAAGCGCUGUUACUUACACCGAACCUUAUUCUAACCAUAAUUACUACAAAGCCCAUGAUGGCGUAAAAAAUUACUGGCAACAUGGUAGCUAUUUCUCAAGUAACGGGAGCAACAUGCUUCAAAUUGCCAUGUGGCACUAGCUAUAGAAUAGCAUGUAAAUUAUCUGCACGACUGACAAAAGUAGGACAUAAACACCUAGUUUUAUGUAUAGUAAUAAUGACAUAAACAAUCACUAGCCAAGCUAGCUUGCAAAUUUGUCCUGUGAUGUUAAUUUCUUAGCUUUACAAUUAUUAAUUUCUUUAGAACCAAAUUUGCAGGCUGGCUUUGUCUCAUAUGUAGCUAUAAUUUGUUCAAUUGCAAAGAUUACAUUUUGUCAGAGUAAUAAACUAUAGGAUACCUGGC